UCCGUUUUGACAACGGCAGUCUCGUUAGAGUCCCCGGCAUUACCCGCUGGUAACUAACGACAAGGGUUGCGCUCGUUACGGGACUUAACCCAACAUCUCACGACACGAGCUGACGACAGCCAUGCAACACCUGUGUACGUUCCGACUCCGAAGAGCUGUCCUCCUGCUUUCACAGGAAUAAUCCGUACAUGUCAAGGCCAGGUAAGGUUCUUCGCGUUGCUUCGAAUUGAACCACAUGCUCCACCGCUUGUGUGAUCCCCCGUCAAUUCCUUUGAGUUUUACCCUUGCGAGCGUACUCCCCAGGCGGGGCACUUAACACAUUUGCUCCGGCAAUGAACAUCAUAGGAAAACCCAUUGCCCAGUGCCCAUCGUUUACAGCUAGGACUAC
rnacentral:misc_RNA from 1 species